UUAAGCGACUAAGCGUACACGGUGGAUGCCCUGGCAGUCAGAGGCGAUGAAGGACGUGCUAAUCUGCGAUAAGCGUCGGUAAGGUGAUAUGAACCGUUAUAACCGGCGAUUUCCGAAUGGGGAAACCCAGUGUGUUUCGACACACUAUCAUUAACUGAAUCCAUAGGUUAAUGAGGCGAACCGGGGGAACUGAAACAUAUAAGUACCCCGAGGAAAAGAAAUCAACCGAGAUUCCCCCAGUAGCGGCGAGCGAACGGGGAGGAGCCCAGAGCCUGAAUCAGUGUGUGUGUUAGUGGAAGCGUCUGGAAAGGCGCGCGAUACAGGGUGACAGCCCCGUACACAAAAAUGCACAUGCUGUGAGCUCGAUGAGUAGGGCGGGACACGUGGUAUCCUGUCUGAAUAUGGGGGGACCAUCCUCCAAGGCUAAAUACUCCUGACUGACCGAUAGUGAACCAGUACCGUGAGGGAAAGGCGAAAAGAACCCCGGCGAGGGGAGUGAAAAAGAACCUGAAACCGUGUACGUACAAGCAGUGGGAGCACGCUUAGGCGUGUGACUGCGUACCUUUUGUAUAAUGGGUCAGCGACUUAUAUUCUGUAGCAAGGUUAACCGAAUAGGGGAGCCGAAGGGAAACCGAGUCUUAACUGGGCGUUAAGUUGCAGGGUAUAGACCCGAAACCCGGUGAUCUAGCCAUGGGCAGGUUGAAGGUUGGGUAACACUAACUGGAGGACCGAACCGACUAAUGUUGAAAAAUUAGCGGAUGACUUGUGGCUGGGGGUGAAAGGCCAAUCAAACCGGGAGAUAGCUGGUUCUCCCCGAAAGCUAUUUAGGUAGCGCCUCGUGAAUUCAUCUCCGGGGGUAGAGCACUGUUUCGGCAAGGGGGUCAUCCCGACUUACCAACCCGAUGCAAACUGCGAAUACCGGAGAAUGUUAUCACGGGAGACACACGGCGGGUGCUAACGUCCGUCGUGAAGAGGGAAACAACCCAGACCGCCAGCUAAGGUCCCAAAGUCAUGGUUAAGUGGGAAACGAUGUGGGAAGGCCCAGACAGCCAGGAUGUUGGCUUAGAAGCAGCCAUCAUUUAAAGAAAGCGUAAUAGCUCACUGGUCGAGUCGGCCUGCGCGGAAGAUGUAACGGGGCUAAACCAUGCACCGAAGCUGCGGCAGCGACGCUGAUGCGUUGUUGGGUAGGGGAGCGUUCUGUAAGCCUGCGAAGGUGUGCUGUGAGGCAUGCUGGAGGUAUCAGAAGUGCGAAUGCUGACAUAAGUAACGAUAAAGCGGGUGAAAAGCCCGCUCGCCGGAAGACCAAGGGUUCCUGUCCAACGUUAAUCGGGGCAGGGUGAGUCGACCCCUAAGGCGAGGCCGAAAGGCGUAGUCGAUGGGAAACAGGUUAAUAUUCCUGUACUUGGUGUUACUGCGAAGGGGGGACGGAGAAGGCUAUGUUGGCCGGGCGACGGUUGUCCCGGUUUAAGCGUGUAGGCUGGUUUUCCAGGCAAAUCCGGAAAAUCAAGGCUGAGGCGUGAUGACGAGGCACUACGGUGCUGAAGCAACAAAUGCCCUGCUUCCAGGAAAAGCCUCUAAGCAUCAGGUAACAUCAAAUCGUACCCCAAACCGACACAGGUGGUCAGGUAGAGAAUACCAAGGCGCUUGAGAGAACUCGGGUGAAGGAACUAGGCAAAAUGGUGCCGUAACUUCGGGAGAAGGCACGCUGAUAUGUAGGUGAAGCGACUUGCUCGUGGAGCUGAAAUCAGUCGAAGAUACCAGCUGGCUGCAACUGUUUAUUAAAAACACAGCACUGUGCAAACACGAAAGUGGACGUAUACGGUGUGACGCCUGCCCGGUGCCGGAAGGUUAAUUGAUGGGGUUAGCGCAAGCGAAGCUCUUGAUCGAAGCCCCGGUAAACGGCGGCCGUAACUAUAACGGUCCUAAGGUAGCGAAAUUCCUUGUCGGGUAAGUUCCGACCUG
rnacentral:rRNA from 1 species